AGGAUAAACGCUGGCGGCGUGCCUUACGCAUGCAAGUCGAACGCGCAGUCGCCUUCGGGGGGCUGUGAGUGGCGGACGGGUGAGUAACACGUACGUGACCUGCCGCGAAGUGGGGGAUACCGGUCCGAAAGGGCCGCUAAUACCGCAUGUGGUCCCCGGGGGUGCUCGGGGAGUAAAGGGCGUAAGCCCGCUUGGCGAGGGGCGUGCGGCCGAUUAGCUGGUUGGUGGGGUAACGGCCUACCAAGGCGACGAUCGGUAGCUGGGCUGAGAGGCCGAGCAGCCACACUGGGACUGAGAUACGGCCCAGACUCCUACGGGAGGCAGCAGCGAGGAAUUUUGCGCAAUGGGCGAAAGCCUGACGCAGCAACGCCGCGUGGGUGAUGAAGGCCUUCGGGUCGUAAAGCCCUUUUGUCGGGGAAGACAACGACGGUACCCGACGAAGAAGCCACGGCUAACUACGCGCCAGCAGCCGC
rnacentral:rRNA from 1 species